AUACGUAGGGGGCGAGCGUUGUCCGGAAUUACUGGGCGUAAAGAGCUCGUAGGUGGUUUGUCGCGUCGUCCGUGAAAUUCCGGGGCUUAACUCCGGGCGUGCAGGCGAUACGGGCAUAACUUGAGUACUGUAGGGGAGACUGGAAUUCCUGGUGUAGCGGUGAAAUGCGCAGAUAUCAGGAGGAACACCGGUGGCGAAGGCGGGUCUCUGGGCAGUAACUGACGCUGAGGAGCGAAAGCAUGGGUAGCGAACAGGAUUAGAUACCCUGGUAGUCCAUGCCGUAAACGGUGGGCGCUAGGUGUAGGGGUCUUCCACGACUUCUGUGCCGUAGCUAACGCAUUAAGCGCCUCGCCUGGGGAGUACGGCCGCAAGGCUAAAACUCAAAGGAAUUGACGGGG
rnacentral:rRNA from 1 species